ACGUUGUUCGGAAUCACUGGGUUUAAAGGGCGCGUAGGCGGGCGGUCAAGUCGGUGGUGAAAUCUUUCAGCUCAACUGGAAAAUCGCCUUCGAUACUGGCGGUCUGGAGGGAGGUAGGGGCAUGCGGAACUUCCGGUGGAGCGGUGAAAUGCGUAGAUAUCGGAAGGAACACCGAUGGCGAAAGCAGCGUGCUGGACCUUUUCUGACGCUGAGGCGCGAAAGCCAG
rnacentral:rRNA from 1 species